UUGGUUUCUUUGCUGACGAGUGGCGGACGGGUGAGUAAUGCUUGGGUAUCUGGCUUAUGGAGGGGGAUAACUACGGGAAACUGUAGCUAAUACCGCGUAGUAUCGGAAGAUGAAAGUGUGGGACCGUAAGGCCACAUGCCAUAGGAUGAGCCCAAGUGGGAUUAGGUAGUUGGUGAGGUAAUGGCUCACCAAGCCGACGAUCUCUAGCUGGUCUGAGAGGAUGACCAGCCACACCGGGACUGAGACACGGCCCGGACUCCUACGGGAGGCAGCAGUGGGGAAUAUUGCGCAAUGGGGGCAACCCUGACGCAGCCAUGCCGCGUGAAUGAAGAAGGCCUUCGGGUUGUAAAGUUCUUUCGGUAGCGAGGAAGGCAUUUAGUU
rnacentral:rRNA from 1 species